rnacentral:rRNA from 1 species
ACGCUGGCGGCACGCCUAACACAUGCAAGUCGAACGAAGUAGCAAUACUUAGUGGCAGACGGGUGAGUAACAUGUAGGUAUCUGCCCUUUGGCCUGGAAUAACACGAGGAAACUUGUGCUAAUACCGGAUAAGUCUUUACGGAGAAAGCUUUAUGCACCAUUGGAUGAGCCUGCACUUGAUUAGUUUGUUGGUGGGGUAAUGGCCUACCAAGACUGUGAUCAAUAGCUGAUUUGAGAGGAUGAUCAGCCACAUUGGGACUGAGACACGGCCCAAACUCCUACGGGAGGCAGCAGUGGGGAAUCUUGCACAAUGGAGGAAACUCUGAUGCAGCGAUGCCGCGUGAGUGAAGAAGGCCCUUGGGUUGUAAAGCUCUUUCGUCGGGGAAGAAAAUGACUGUACCCGAAUAAGAAGGUCCGGCUAACUUCGUGCCAGCAGCCGCGGUAAUACGAAGGGACCUAGCGUAGUUCGGAAUUACUGGGCUUAAAGAGUUCGUAGGUGGUUGAAAAAGUUAGUGGUGAAAUCCCAGAGCUUAACUCUGGAACUGCCAUUAAAACUUUUCAGCUAGAGUAUGAUAGAGGAAAGCAGAAUUUCUAGUGUAGAGGUGAAAUUCGUAGAUAUUAGAAAGAAUACCAAUUGCGAAGGCAGCUUUCUGGAUCAUUACUGACACUGAGGAACGAAAGCAUGGGUAGCGAAGAGGAUUAGAUACCCUCGUAGUCCAUGCCGUAAACGAUGUGUGUUAGACGUUGGAAAUUUAUUUUCAGUGUCGCAGCGAAAGCGAUAAACACACCGCCUGGGGAGUACGACCGCAAGGUUAAAACUCAAAUGAAUUGACGGGGACCCGCACAAGUAGUGGAGCAUGUGGUUUAAUUCGAAGAUACGCGCAGAACCUUACCAACACUUGACAUGUUCGUCGCGACUCUAAGAGAUUAGAGUUUUCGGUUCGGCCGGACGAAACACAGGUGCUGCAUGGCUGUCGUCAGCUCGUGUCGUGAGAUGUUGGGUUAAGUCCCGCAACGAGCGCAACCCUCACUUUUAGUUGCCAUCAUUAAGUUGGGCACUCUGAAAGAACUGCCAGUGAUAAGCUGGAGGAAGGUGGGGAUGACGUCAAGUCCUCAUGGCCCUUACGUGUUGGGCUACACACGUGCUACAAUGGUAUCUACAACAGGAAGCAAGACUGCGAAGUUAAGCAAAUCCCCAAAAGAUACCUCAGUUCGGAUUGCACUCUGCAACUCGAGUGCAUGAAGCUGGAAUUACUAGUAAUCGUGGAUCAGCGUGCCACGGUGAAUGCGUUCCCGGGUCUUGUACACACCGCC